rnacentral:rRNA from 1 species
AGAGUUUGAUCAUGGCUCAGGACGAACGCUGGCGGCGCGCCUAAUACGUGCAAGUCGAGCGAAGACGCUUUGGGUCGAGGCUUCGGCCAAGACACAAAGUGGACUGAGCGGCGGACGGGUGAGUAACGCGUGGGCAACCUGCCCUAUCGCCCGGGAUAACCCUCGGAAACGGGGGCUAAUACCGGAUGCGGUCGCAAGCUCGCAUGGGUUUGCGACGAAAGGGUUUACCUGCGAUAGGAUGGGCCCGCGUCCCAUUAGCUGGUUGGUGGGGUAACGGCCUACCAAGGCGACGAUGGGUAGCCGGCCUGAGAGGGUGGACGGCCACACUGGGACUGAGACACGGCCCAGACUCCUACGGGAGGCAGCAGUAGGGAAUCUUCGGCAAUGGGCGAAAAGCCUGACCGAGCGACGCCGCGUGAGGGAAGAAGGCCUUCGGGUCGUAAACCUCUGUCCUUGGGGAAGAAGGUGACGGUACCCAAGGAGGAAGCCCCGGCUAACUACGUGCCAGCAGCCGCGGUAAUACGUAGGGGGCGAGCGUUGUCCGGAAUUACUGGGCGUAAAGGGUGCGUAGGCGGCCAUUUAAGUCUUGUGUGAAAGGUCCCGGCUUAACCGGGGAGCGGCAUGGGAAACUGGAUGGCUUGAGUGCUGGAGAGGGUUGCGGAAUUCCCAGUGUAGCGGUGAAAUGCGUAGAUAUUGGGAAGAACACCAGUGGCGAAGGCGGCAACCUGGACAGUAACUGACGCUGAGGCACGACAGCUGGGGGAGCGAACAGGAUUAGAUACCCUGGUAGUCCCAGCCGUAAACGAUGAGUGCUAGGUGUUGCGGGUAUCGACCCCUGCAGUGCCGCAGUUAACGCAAUAAGCACUCCGCCUGGGGAGUACGGCCGCAAGGCUGAAACUCAAAGGAAUUGACGG